AGAAAACAAUUUCUGUAUGAAUAGUCCCAACACAAAAUAAAGCGUUGUCGUCCACUUCCUUGCCACAGGGUGGCGCUCUGCAGCCUGUUGUUAGAAAGCAGCUCAAGUUAAAUAUGAGUGACUCCAGGUUGAGUUUGACACUUAAAGCGUUCAUUCUGCUGAACAAUGGCCAGGUUUACUGUAGUCUUGAUGGUAUUUUCACUGCUUAAGGAGAGCACUGAUGCAUAUACAAUAGAAUCUCUCUCACCAGAAAAGCAUGUUUCAGUUGGAGAAAGUGCUGUUAUCUCCUGCAAAUACAGCGGCAUUGGGCCCAGCUUCCAGUGGUAUCGCCAGUAUCCAAGAUCCAGACCAGAGUUCCUUAUUUUUCACACAGAGACUGCUGAUUCAAAUAAACCCACUUUACGUCUCACAGCGAUACCCAGAAAAGAAAUGACACAAGUGGAUCUGGAGAUCUCCUCUACUGAAGUGAAAGACUCUGCUGUGUAUUACUGCGCCCUGGUGCCCACAGUGACAGGAAACACACCUGCUCUGUACAAAAACUUAAUACAUUCAUCUGCAUUACACAAAACUGUGAAACACCCGCAUCCAGUACACCACAACAAAUUAUUGAUGCAACAUGUUUAAAUGUAAAGAAACGCUGUCACGUCUUCAUUUUGAGAGAAAAACAGCCCAUCAGAGAAGAUAAAGUCUCAUCCUGAGGGUGGAGCAAAUUCACAAAGACGUGAAUGUGUGAACGG